CAGACGGAUGCCCUCUGAUGGCAGGCAAAGAAACUGCCCACACGGCAUGUGCCAGCCUCAUCCCCUCUAUCAACCUACUCAUGCUCGUCCAAUCUCGUACUGCAUAUAAUAGCCCCCACAGUCAUCAGAUCACAAUCCAAUAGAGCACCUUUGGGAUGUGGUGGAACAGGAGAUUCUCAUCAUGUAUGUGCAGCUGACAAAUCUCUGAGGAAUGUUUCCAACACCUUGUUGAAGCUUUGCAAAGAACUGAUAUUGCUCUUUAGGUAAAAAAAGGGUCCGACUGGUAUUAGCAAAGGGUACCUAAUAAAAUGACUGUAUUGAUAUAGUUCGGUGUAUUGUGGUGACCUUUCCUGAAGUAGGAUGACACUCGGAAAGUUCAUCCUCCACCAAGGUCAAUGCCCAACUUUGCAAUUUUAAAUAAAG
ensembl:lncRNA